UGCUCACUUCAGCAGCAUGUGGGUGAAAAUGGGAACAUAGAGAGAAGAUUCGCAUGGCCCCUGAGCACGGAUGGCACGAACAUUUGCGAAGCUUUCCGUGUGUUU